rfam:Firmicutes bacterium CAG:41 genomic scaffold, scf154
GUGUAUCUUCAGGGCAGGGUGUGAUUCCCUACCGGUGGUUAAAGUCCACGACCCUACUCAGUACAGUAGGCUGAUUUGGUGAAAUUCCAAAACCGACGGUUAAAGUCCGGACGGAAGAAGAUGUUU